rnacentral:lncRNA from 1 species
CCUGUGGAGGAAGUGAAGGCCGAAGAACCGGCCAAAACUGAAGAACCGGUCAAAACCGAAGAAACAAGUGGCGAGAAGGAGAAGGAGAUUGUUGAAGAGACUAAGAAAGAAGAGACCGUUGCAACCGCGGUCGUUGAGGAGAAGAAACCUGAAGUAGAAAAGGAGGAGGAGAAGAAGCCUGUGGUCGAAGAAGUGAAAAAGGAAGAAGCUGCUCCAGCUCCAGCGGUGGUUGAAACUCCGGUUACGGCACCAGAAACAACG